CCAAGUUUUUAAGGGCGCACGGUGGAUGCCUUGGCACCAGGAACCGAUGAAGGACGUGGGAGGCCACGAUAGGCCCCGGGGAGCCGUCAACCAGGCUGUGAUCCGGGGGUGUCCGAAUGGGGAAACCCGGCAGUCGUCAUGGGCUGUCACCCGCUGCUGAACACAUAGGCAGUGCGGAGGGAACGCGGGGAAGUGAAACAUCUCAGUACCCGCAGGAAGAGAAAACAACCGUGAUUCCGGGAGUAGUGGCGAGCGAAACCGGACGAGGCCAAACCGCAGGCGUGUGAGACCCGGCAGGGGUUGCGCAUGCGGGGUUGUGGGAUCUCUCUUCCACGGUCUGCCGGCCGUGGGACGAGUCAGAAACCGUUGGCGUAGGCGAAGGACAUGCGAAAGGUCCGGCGCAGAGGGUAAGACCCCCGUAGCCGAAACGUCAGCGGCUCGUUGGAGAGACACCCAAGUAGCACGGGGCCCGAGAAAUCCCGUGUGAAUCCGGCGGGACCACCCGCCAAGCCUAAAUAUUCCCUGGUGACCGAUAGCGGAGAGUACCGUGAGGGAAUGGUGAAAAGUACCCCGGGAGGGGAGUGAAAUAGUACCUGAAACCGUGUGCCUACAAGCCGUGGGAGCGUCGGAACGAGGCUUGCCUCGUUCUCGUGACUGCGUGCCUUUUGAAGAAUGAGCCUGCGAGUUUGCGGUGUGUUGCGAGGUUAACCCGGGUGGGGAAGCCGUAGCGAAAGCGAGUCCGAACAGGGCGGUUUCAGUAGCACGCUCAAGACCCGAAGCGGAGUGAUCUAGCCAUGGGCAGGUUGAAGCGGAGGUAAGACUUCGUGGAGGACCGAACCCACCAGGGUUGAAAACCUGGGGGAUGACCUGUGGUUAGGGGUGAAAGGCCAAUCAAACUCCGUGAUAGCUGGUUCUCCCCGAAAUGCAUUUAGGUGCAGCGUCGUGUGUUUCUUGCCGGAGGUAGAGCACUGGAUAGGCGAUGGGCCCUACCGGGUUACUGACCUUAGCCAAACUCCGAAUGCCGGCAAGUGAGAGCGCGGCAGUGAGACCGUGGGGGAUAAGCUCCAUGGUCGAGAGGGAAACAGCCCAGAGCAUCGACUAAGGCCCCCAAGCGUACGCUAAGUGGGAAAGGAUGUGGAGUCGCAGAGACAACCAGGAGGUUGGCUUAGAAGCAGCCACCCUUGAAAGAGUGCGUAAUAGCUCACUGGUCUAGUGAUUCCGCGCCGACAAUGUAGCGGGGCUCAAGCGUACCGCCGAAGUCGUGUCAUUGCGAUAUGUACCCCCAACGGGGAUCGUGAUGGGUAGGGGAGCGUCGUGUGCCGGGUGAAGCAGCCGCGGAAGCGAGUUGUGGACGGUUCACGAGUGAGAAUGCAGGCAUGAGUAGCGAUUCACACGUGAGAAACGUGUGCGCCGAUUGACUAAGGGUUCCUGGGUCAAGCUGAUCUGCCCAGGGUAAGUCGGGACCUAAGGCGAGGCCGACAGGCGUAGUCGAUGGACAACCGGUUGAUAUUCCGGUACCCGCGGUGCAGCGCCAGACACCGAAUCCAGUGAUGCUAAGCCCGUGAAGCCGCCGGCCGAGUCUUCGGACGAGGCCGGAGUGGUGGAGCCGGUGACCCGAGCUGGUAGUAGGUGAGUGAUGGGGUGACGCAGGAAGGCAGUCCAGCCCGGGCGGUGGUUGUCCCGGGGUAAGGGUGUAGGACGUCAGGUAGGCAAAUCCGCCUGGCACAUCGUCUGAGACCCGAUGCCGAGCCGAUUGCGGCGAAGUGGAUGAUCCUAUGCUGUCGAGAAAAGCCUCUAGCGAGUUGCACGGCGGCCCGUACCCGAAACCGACUCAGGUGGUCAGGUAGAGAAUACCGAGGCGUUCGGGUGAACUAUGGUUAAGGAACUCGGCAAAAUGCCCCCGUAACUUCGGGAGAAGGGGGGCCAUCACUGGUGAUCCGGCUUUGCCCGGUGAGCUGGGGGUGGCCGCAGAGACCAGCGAGAAGCGACUGUUUACUAAAAACACAGGUCCGUGCGAAGCCGUAAGGCGAGGUAUACGGACUGACGCCUGCCCGGUGCUGGAACGUUAAGGGGACCGGUCAGCUUGGAUUCGUCCAGGCGAAGCUGAGAACUUAAGCGCCAGUAAACGGCGGUGGUAACUAUAACCAUCCUAAGGUAGCGAAAUUCCUUGUCGGGUAAGUUCCGACCUGCACGAAUGGCGUAACGACUUCUCGACUGUCUCAACCAUAGGCCCGGUGAAAUUGCACUACGAGUAAAGAUGCUCGUUUCGCGCAGCAGGACGGAAAGACCCCGGGACCUUUACUACAGUUUGAUAUUGGUGUUCGGUUCGGCUUGUGUAGGAUAGCUGGGAGACUGUGAAGCGGCCACGCCAGUGGUCGUGGAGUCGUCGUUGAAAUACCAGUCUGGUCGUGCUGGAUGUCUAACCUGGGUCCGUGAUCCGGAUCAGGGACAGUGUCUGAUGGGUAGUUUAACUGGGGCGGUUGCCUCCUAAAGGGUAACGGAGGCGCCCAAAGGUUCCCUCAGCCUGGUUGGCAAUCAGGUGGUGAGUGUAAGUGCACAAGGGAGCUUGACUGUGAGACCGACGGGUCGAGCAGGGACGAAAGUCGGGACUAGUGAUCCGGCGGUGGCUUGUGGAAGCGCCGUCGCUCAACGGAUAAAAGGUACCCCGGGGAUAACAGGCUGAUCUUCCCCAAGAGUCCAUAUCGACGGGAUGGUUUGGCACCUCGAUGUCGGCUCGUCGCAUCCUGGGGCUGGAGUCGGUCCCAAGGGUUGGGCUGUUCGCCCAUUAAAGCGGUACGCGAGCUGGGUUUAGAACGUCGUGAGACAGUUCGGUCCCUAUCCGCUGUGCGCGCAGGAGUCUUGAGAAGGGCUGUCCCUAGUACGAGAGGACCGGGACGGACGAACCUCUGGUGUGCCAGUUGUCCUGCCAAGGGCAUGGCUGGUUGGCUACGUUCGGGAGGGAUAACCGCUGAAAGCAUCUAAGCGGGAAGCCUGCUUCGAGAUGAGGACUCCCACCCACUUGAUGGGGUAAGGCUCCCAGCAGACGACUGGGUUGAUAGGCCGGAUCUGGAAGCACGGUAACGUGUGGAGGUGACCGGUACUAAUAGGCCGAGGGCUUGUCCUC
rnacentral:rRNA from 1 species